UUCAAAAGUAAGAAGAUUGUC
rnacentral:piRNA from 1 species